UGAAUACGAGACGCUAAGGCGUCGAAGUAGUGUAUGUCAUACUUCCAAGAAAAGCUUGCACUGUCAUAGAUAAAAAACGCCUGUACCAUAACCGACACAGGUGGGUAGGUAGAGUAUACUAAGGGGCGCGAGAUAACUCUCUCUAAGGAACUUGGCAAAAUAACUCCGUAACUUCGGGAGAAGGAGUGCCUUAUUCGUAAGGUUGCAAUAACAAGAUCCAAGCAACUGUUUAUCAAAAACACAGGUCUCCGCUAAGUCGUAAGACGAUGUAUGGGGGCUGACGCCUGCCCAGUGCCAGAAGGUUAAAGAAGUUGGUUAGCAAUUGCGAAGCUGAUAACUGAAGCCCUGGUGAACGGCGGCCGUAACGAUAACGGUCCUAAGGUAGCGAAAUUCCUUGUCGGGUAAGUUCCGACCCGCACGAAAGGCGUAAUGAUUUGGAUACUGUCUCGGAGAGGGGCUCGGUGAAAUAGACUUGUCUGUGAAGAUGCGGACUACCUGCACCAGGACAGAAAGACCCUAUGAAGCUUUACUGUAACUUGAAAUUGAAAUUGGACUUUAUUCGCGCAGUAUAGGUGGGAGGCGUUGAUUAUAAUCUUGUGGGAUUAUUGGAGCCAUCAGUGAGAUACCACUCUUGUAAUGUUAGAUUUCUAACUUUGAAUCAUUAUCUGGUCAAAGAACAGUUUCAGGCGGGCAGUUUGACUGGGGCGGUCGCCUCCUAAACGGUAACGGAGGCGUACAAAGGUUUCCUCUGAACGGUUAGAAAUCGUAUCUAGAGUGUAAAGGCAUAAGGAAGCUUGACUGUGAGACCUACAAGUCGAGCAGGGACGAAAGUCGGUCUUAGUGAUCUGACGGUACUGAGUGGAAAGGCCGUCACUCAACGGAUAAAAGUUACUCUAGGAUAACAGGCUGAUCUCCCCCAAGAGUUCACAUCGACGGGGAGGUUUGGCACCUCGAUGUCGGCUCAUCGCAUCCUGGGGCGGUAGUACGUCCCAAGGGUUGGGCUGUUCGCCCAUGAAAGCGGUACGCGAGCUGGGUUCAGAACGUCGUGAGACAGUUCGGUCCAUAUCCGGUGUAGGCGUUAGAAUAUUGAGAGGAGCCUUCUUUAGUACGAGAGGACCGAGAAGGACAUACCUCUGGUGUACCAGUUAUCGUGCCAACGGUAAACGCUGGGUAGCUAUGUAUGGAGUGGAUAACCGCUGAAAGCAUCUAAGUGGGAAGCCCACCUCAAGAUAAGUAUUCUCAC
rnacentral:rRNA from 1 species